UACAGAGGUGUCAAACGUUGUCCGGAAUUAUUGGGCGUAAAGGGCGCGUAGGCGGCCGGGUAAGUGAGAUGUGAAAGCUCUGGGCUCAACCCAGGAAUUGCAUUUCAUACUGCUCGGCUAGAGAUUGGUAGAGGAUGGCGGAAUUCCAGGUGUAGCGGUGAAAUGCGUAGAUAUCUGGAGGAACACCGGUGGCGAAGGCGGGUCUCUGGGCAGUAAC
rnacentral:rRNA from 1 species